rnacentral:lncRNA from 1 species
UUCGCCACGCAUACAAUCCUCCAAAAAGCAGCACCUUAUUUCUGGCGCUAAGGAGUUCGCGAUAACACAUUAUAUUCUCGCGCAUGGCGAUAGCAUUACCUUUACAAGAAUAUCGCGGACAUCAUUAUUGCACUACUUGUCGUGCAGCCCCAGCAACCAUACUCUCCGAAUCAAGUACACAUGACGUCAGAAUACGGUGUAGUUUGUUUGCUCAUGGUUACAAUUUUACUUCUGGCAAAUUCCGGUUCAAUGUGGAAAAUAAAUCAGACUGAAGAACAGUCUCGAAAAAGACCAACUAUGCAUCCAGUAAAGGGUGAGUGUUCUAUGUAAAAGUCACCCGGUUUCGU